rnacentral:rRNA from 1 species
AUUGAACGCUGGCGGCAGGCCUAACACAUGCAAGUCGAGCGGAUGAAGAGAGCUUGCUCUCUGAUACAGCGGCGGACGGGUGAGUAAUGCCUAGGAAUCUGCCUGGUAGUGGGGGACGACGUUUCGAAAGGAACGCUAAUACCGCAUACGUCCUACGGGAGAAAGCAGGGGACCUUCGGGCCUUGCGCUAUCAGAUGAGCCUAGGUCGGAUUAGCUAGUUGGUGAGGUAAUGGCUCACCAAGGGGACGAUCCGUAACUGGUCUGAGAGGAUGAUCAGUAACACUGGAACUGAGACACGGUCCAGACUCCUACGGGAGGCAGCAGUGGGGAAUAUUGGACAAUGGGCGAAAGCCUGAUCCAGCCAUGCCGCGUGUGUGAAGAAGGUCUUCGGAUUGUAAAGCACUUUAAGUUGGGAGGAAGGGCAGUAAGUUAAUACCUUGCUGUUUUGACGUUACCGACAGAAUAAGCACCGGCUAACUCUGUGCCAGCCGCCGCCGUAA